GGUUCGCCUGGCAGCUGGAAGCGACCUGCGGGCUCCGGUACGCGGAUGGACUUGUGGAAGCGAGACCCGUCCCAGCACGGCGCUUGCCGCUCGGGGCGCGCUUCUGCCCGUACCGAUAGGAAACGGCGGCCGCUUGUCUCCGUAGCCACCUGUGGACUUCCCUUGGAAAACUAUUUUAGAAAAGUAAUCUCGGCUUGCUGCUCCGCUCUGGUGAAAGUUCUGCCGCAAACACACUGUAUUGUGCAUGAAAUUGUUAUGUAGGCAUUGUGCCAUGUAAAAUCCCAUCCUCUCUUCGUUGAUAAAUGACACCUAACGCAUCAAGCAAUGGGCGACCGCCACGCUUGGAUGUCUCAAUGUGUCCCUUGACUUCGCUUGCUACUCUGAACGGCAUUAAAAAGCAAACCAAGGCACUGAUCUGAAGCCCUGAAGGGUAUGACUCACUGACAUAACAAUACAUUGUAGUAUCUCCUGGAUAAUUACACUGCAUCAUGUCACAACAAAGUAUUGUUGAAAUAUUAUCAUGUAGCUCAUAAAGUGUGAUUUUUUUUAUUGUAAGCCUAUAAAAUAAACAAAAUUGUUGUGUUAGAACAGACGUGCAGGCUCAAAGCAUUUUGUUAUGGCUGUGAAAAUGAGCUGUAGCAGUAAAUGCACUCAAUAUAACACAAAUCCCAA